CUCCCCGCUGAGAAGGGAGUCCAACUAGGGGCUCAAUCCCUGGCCCCGGGGAUCACGACCCAAGCCGAAGGCAGACGCUUAAGCGAAGAACCACCCAGGUGCCCCUACAAUGUUUGAUAAAAGGGAAAUUAACAGUUCAACGUAUUUACUGAGAAGCAACGAGCCGCUGAGCACCAGGAUUACAGCUACCAACAUUUCUCGNUCCCAGCUCUCGAACAGUUCAGACUGCGAAAUACGCCAAGCAAGGCCUAGUUAAGGCCCACGCGUGUGGAUCAGGAAGCGAUCAAUCAAUCGGCUGGACGUGUGAGUAGGAGCGGGGAUAACUGAAGCCUCAGGAGGGCCAAGGGAUGGUUUUGGGGUAGCAACGGCAAGACUCAGCCCCGGGCGGUGCUUGGCGCCCACAAUGCAGGCCUGCCGGCCAAGCGCCGGCUCUCCGCGCACGCGGCGGGGCGGGAACCACCGGGCUGCGCGCGGUAGGCCCGCUCACUUCCCUAGACGUACCCCGGAGGUCCAGCUCGCGGUCCCGCACGGCGUUGGUGUACUGCGCCGCCUGCUCGAUCAACUCCGCCGUCAGUUUCACCAUCCUGCCGCCUCCCGCUGCUGGUGCGACGGCCCGCCGCCUAUUCCCGCCGCCUCCCGCCCGCCAGACUUCCCGGCGUCCUCCGCGCCCCGCCGCAAGGCAACGCCAAUCGCAGCCGGCGCAUGAGCGCGCAGCUCGACGUCCAGGCAGAAGCAAUCGAAGAGCGACGCCCCCGAUCUCGUUCUCUUUGGAAGUCCAGGCGAGUGCUGAGCUUGUGGCUGGCUCUGGGUUCUUCUUUGGAGCGUAUUUGGAGGAGGGCCCCUGAUUCCAGAUGUCUGUCCCCGCAAGUAAGCAAAAUGUGAAAGCCCUCGAGUGGAAAUUUCUUAUGCAUCGAUGCACCUUGAGGUGGGAGGAGACUCUGUCUGUCCUCACUCCACCGAGGAGGGACGGGCACCCGUGGGAUCCAGUGAAGGGGGCCAGGAACUUCAGGUUCCCAUUCGGGUCCCAUGCUUUGGGCCCCAGGCUGCCACGUGAGAACCAGGGCAAGGUCAAUCAUAGGGCCACUUCGUUGGGAUCAUCCUACCGCCCGGCGAGCCCGACCCAUCUCCGCACACCCUUCAGUUUUGUUAGGCCUGUGAUCUCCAGACAUUUAAAUAUUUAAUGGAAGCAUGAUAUACAGAAAAGUGCGCAAACCGGGAAUUUGCAACGUGACGAAUAGCCACAGAGUGAGAACACCUGAGUUGCUGCCUCCCGGUCCAGGAAAAGAACACUUUUCUGAAAGCCUCCUUUCCUGGUUCCCAAGGCAACCAGGAAUCGAACACCAUAGAUUAGUUUUGCUUGCUUUUUUCUUUUUAAGAUUUUACUUAUGUAUUUGAGAAAGAGAGAAAGCACAAGGGGUGGGUAGGGGGCAGAGGGAGGAGGAGAAGCAAACUUCCGCUGAACAGGGAACCCAACAUCCCCUGAGUCCCAGGACCCUGGAAUCAUGACCCGAGUGGAAGGCAGACGCUUAACCAAAUGAGCCACCUAGGCUCCCCGAAUUUUGCUUGCUUUUGAUACAAAUAGAAUCAUGCAGCGUGCUUUCCUGCCUGGUUUCUUUGGCUUUGUACUAUGACUGGAAUCCACCCAGGUUGCGGAGCAAUGGCUUGUUUACUUUCGUUGCUGUAUAGAAUUCCAUUGUGUAUCUUAUACCAUAACUUAGCCAUUCUGCUGUUGAUGGACAUUAGGGUUGUUUCCUUUGGGGGCUAUUCUGAAUAAUGCUGCUAUGCAUAUUCUUGGACAUGGAUCCAACGGACACGUGCCAGAGUUUCUCCAGAAGUAAAACUUCUGGGACAUAGGGUAUGGUAUCAUCAAUAGGUAAUGCCUAACAGGACAAGAGACUGAAAUAAUACACAUACUGUAGCUGUGUGUAAGGGUCUCCAUGCCUUCAACCUCAGCCUCAUUAGUACUGCCAAUAUAUAAUUGUGGUGAUUCAGAGGAGCCUGGGUGGCUCAGUCAGUUAAGCAUGGAACUCCUGAUUUCGGCUCACGUCGUGGGCUCUGCAUGGAGCCUGCUUGGAAUUAUCUCUCUCUCCCUCUGCUCCUCCAUGUGCGAAUACUCUCUCUCUCUCUCUCAAAUAAUUGGGGGAAUUCUGGUUACUGUGUAGUGGUAUUGCACUAUUGUUUUGAUUAGCUUUUCUCUAAUGAGUUUGAGGACCUUCUCAUGUAUGUUGUUUAUUCGGAUAUCUUUUGUGAAGUGCUCCUUCAAGUCUCUGGUCCAUUUUUUUUCCCUACUGGAUUGUCUGCCUUUUUCAUAUUGACUUAUGGGAUUUCUUUAUAUAUUCUGGGUGUCAGCACACUCUGUGGCUUGCCUUUGCCCCCCCCCCUUUUUUUUUUGGUUUAAACUGCUUAAAUACUAAAGAAUUCACAGAGACCAGAAAUAUUGUCCUCGUACAAGUCACCAAUGCUGCAAAACACAAAUUGUAAUCCAUUUUGUUCUGUUUAAGAUAACAUCCUAUUCCCCAGAUCACCAAGUCAUAAUCUGGGCUGCAAUUCAAAUCAGAAGGCUACGAAAGUGGCCUCCUCACUCAUUUUGCAAUGGGAACAAGCUUUCAGAUGGUCCAAUUCAAGAGGAGUCACCAGAGGAAGAACUUAGCACCGGAAGCCCUACUGACUGCGUUUUGUCCUCUUUUUUUGGUGGGUGGAUUUCAUUGUGGUCGUGUAGGUCUUGGACAGGAAACGCUUUCCUGCUUAUUGGCCUUUUCACUCUUAAUGGUAUCGUUUGAUGACUAGAAGUUUCUAAUUUUUAUGUAAUUCAAUUCAUCUUUUCCUUUCUGGUUAGAGGGUUGGGUGUCUGUACAUGUGCCCCCAAAUAUUUUGUUAUUGUCUACUGGCGGCUUGUUUUUCCUUUCACAUGUAGCUCUACAAUCCCUCUGGAACUGAUUCUUUUUGAACUUUUUAUUGAAUUACGAUAUACUCACAGCAGAAUGCAAACCACACACACCCAAGUAACUGGCAUCCGGAUCAAGAACAGGACAUUGCCACAUUCUGGAAGCUCCCUUCUUGUCCUUUCGGUCACAUGCUUGCCCCAAUGGUAACCACAUCUUGCAUAGAUUGGUUUUGCUAAAUUUUAUAUUUAUGCAAAUAAAAUGGUACCUUAUGUAUCUCUUGCUUAA